rnacentral:lncRNA from 1 species
UUCGGAGGUCCGGGCGGCGAGCAAGAUGGCGCAGACUCAGGGCACCGAGAGGAAAGUCUGUUACUACUACGACGGGGAUGUUGGAAAUUACUAUUAUGGACAAGGGCACCCAAUGAAGCCUCACCGAAUCCGAAUGACUCAUAAUUUGCUGCUCAACUAUGGUCUCUACCGAAAAAUGGAAAUCUAUCGUCCUCACAAAGCCAACGCUGAGGAGAUGACCAAGUACCACAGCGACGACUACAUCAAAUUCUUGCGUUCUAUUCGCCCAGACAAUAUGUCUGAAUACAGCAAGCAGAUGCAGAGAUUCAACGUGGGUGAGGACUGUCCAGUAUUUGAUGGCUUGUUUGAGUUCUGUCAGUUGUCCACGGGUGGCUCUGUCGCGAGUGCUGUGAAACUCAAUAAGCAGCAGACGGACAUCGCUGUGAACUGGGCUGGGGGCCUGCACUAUGCAAAGAA